ensembl:lncRNA
AUGGGCCCCACCAUCCCCCACAAGGAGGACCAGUGGGAGGGGACAGAAAUGGACUGGGCACAUGCGGUGGCUUUGAAUCUAGUCCAGGAUGAAGGGAAACCAUGCCAGAGAGUUUAGCCAGGCCGCAGCUGCACCAACCCUGCCCCUGAGACAGCACUGGAGAGGAAUGGAACCCAGCCAUCCAUUCUUCUCGGCCAAGCCCAACUUAGGUUUGGUUGUGAACGUUUCUAAGGGAGUUAGUGGCAAGCUAUGGGGGCUCAGUCUGCAACCAGGACCAGGGAUCAGUCUAUGACCAGGGUCAGUGCUCAGAGUACCGCCAGAAUGAGAACUGAGCCUUGAUGACAUGAAGGGCCCUCACAUUAAUCUCCCUCCAGGUGGGGCUCGGAGCCAGUUAAUUUUUAUCUUCCCAAACUCAUGUGCAAAAAAUGUUUGCAGAGUCAAACUGUGCUAAAGUGUUAGAACAAAAACAGCACUCUCCUAUGUCACUGCUCUUUUGAAGUGACCACUUCAACUCAUUCAGUUAUUUAGGAGACAAAAAUCAGAAGACAAAAAUCUCUGCAAGGAGAUGAAACCAGUCAAUCCUAAAGGAAAUCAAUCCUGAAUAUCCAUUGGAGGGACUGAUGCUGAGGCAGAAGCUACAAUACUUUGGCUGCCUGAUGCAAAGAACUGACUCAUUGGAAAGGACCCUGAUGCUGGGAAAGACUGAAGGCAGGAGGAGAAGGGGAUGACAGAGGAUGAGAUGGUUGGAUGGCAUCAUCAGCUCGAUGGACAUGAGUUUGAGCAAGCUCUGGGAGAUGGUGAGGGACAGGGAAGCUUGGCGUGCUGCAGUCCAUGGGGUUGCAGAAGGUCAGACAUGACUGAGCAACUGAAAAACAACAACAAAAUAAAGCAUUUAUUGCUAUUAUUUCUAUCUCAGAGAAGUCCAGUUUAGAUACCAUCUCUUGGCAUUCCUCUCCUGACAGAUGAGAUUCACUUACACUCUUUCCUCUCCUUUUGGUAUCAUAAC